rnacentral:lncRNA from 1 species
GCUUUUUUGCUUAAGCUUUUUUUCCUUCCUUCUCAAGGCGUUGUGGGGCCAGCUGGGGAGAGCAUCAGGCUGUUUGAGUUUGACUACCCUGAAUUGUUUUCUUUCUCUUUGCUUAUUCUUUAUUUUAUUUUGGGGGCUGCUAGGCUGGACUAUCGUAGGGUUUUCUUGAGCUGAUUAUUGUAGUUCACAUGUUGAAGGCAUGAUUAUCAUGAAAUAGGGAUUUAUCAAUCGUAGGUGGGUGUUUUGGAGCCCAACAUGUGACCAGAACAAACAAUACACGAACAAAUGGGCGUGUUG